AACCUUUUGUGCUGUGUAGGCAUGAUGACUGGGUUUCAUGCCACUGUGUAAGAUGUGUCUCCUUCAGCCUGGGUUAUGAUAUAGGUAUAUUACUACCUGGCA